rnacentral:rRNA from 1 species
CCCUUAGAUGUUCUGGGCCGCAUACGCGCUACACUGAAGGAGGCAGCGUGUACUCCUGGAUCGAAAGAUUUGGGUAACCCGCGAAUCUCCUUCGUGCUAGGGAUUGAGGUUUGCAAUUAUCCUUCAUGAACGAGGAAUUCCCAGUAAGUGCAAGUCAUAAGCUUGCGCUGACUACGUCCCUGCCCUUUGUACACACCGCCCGUCGCUACUACCGAUUGAAUGAUUUAGUGAGGACUUCGGACUGGGACCGAUGCGGCUUUCGGGCUGCGUCGGUAUUCUGGAAAGAUGUUCAAACUGUAUCAUUUAGAGGAAGUAAAANUCGUANCA